AACGAACGUUGGCGGCGUGGAUUAGGCAUGCAAGUCGUACGCGAAAGAGGGGGCAACCCCUUGAGUAAAGUGGCGAACGGGUGAGUAACGCGUAGGAAACCUGCCUUCGAGAUGGGGAUAACACUCCUAACGGGGUGCUAAUACCGAAUGACACUGCGGGAUCGCAUGGUUCUGCAGUCAAAGGUGGCCUCUGCUUGCAAGCUACCGCUCAAAGAUGGUCCUGCGUCCCAUAGCUAGUUGGCGGGGUAAUGGCCCACCAAGGCGACGAUGGGUAGCCGAUCUGAGAGGAUGACCGG
rnacentral:rRNA from 1 species